GAUGAACGCUGGCGGCGUGCCUAAUACAUGCAAGUCGAGCGAACGGACGAGAAGCUUGCUGCUCUGAUGUUAGCGGAGGACGGGUGAGUAACACGUGGAUAACCUACCUAUAAGACUGGGAUAACUUCGGGAAACCGGAGCUAAUACCGGAGAAUAUUUUGAACCGCAGGGUUCAAAAGAGAAAGACGGUCUUGCGGUAACUUAUAGAUGGAUCCGCGCUGCAUUAGCUAGUUGGUAAGGUAACGGCCUACCAAGGCAACGAUGCAUAGCCGACCUGAGAGGCUGAUCGGCCACACUGGAACUGGGACACGGUCCAUACUCCUACGGGAGGCAGCAGUAUGCAAUCUUCCGCAAUGGGCGAAAGCCUGACGGAGCAACGCCGCGUGAGUGAUGAAGGUCUUCGGAUCGUAAAACUCUGUUAUUAGGGAAGAACAUAUGUGUAAUUAACUGUGCACAGCUUGACGGUACCUAAUCAGAAAGCCCCGGCUAACUACGUG
rnacentral:rRNA from 1 species